rnacentral:misc_RNA from 1 species
AAGACUAUUGCAAAGAUACAGGUGCUCGAUCCCAAAUCCUUGGGUAAACUACAUGAAGUUAUUGACCCAAGUCAAUUGCCUGACUUUUUAGGUGGCUCUUGUACCUGUUCUGACGAGGGUGGUUGCCUCAGGUCUAACAAGGGUCCAUGGAGUGAUCCUGAAGUAAUGAAGCUUGUCUAUAAUGUAGAGGCAACAACUGUGAAGGAAAUCUCUAGAAAACUUGGUGACCAAAGGAAAAUUGAAUCCUAUAUACAAAUACGCCCUUCAAAGGGAAGGAGCAGAGACACAUCCACAAGUGAUUCAGUAUCGGAUGCUGCUGACUUGUGUUCACCAAUUAGAGGAAAUAGUAGCUCAAUUUUGAGGCUGACCCCAGUAGAUGAAGAAGCUAGGUCAUCAGAUUCAACAGCCUAUUGUAGCUGUGAUGAUGAAUUCAGCCUGGGUGAUCGAGGUGUCACUAAUGAGCAUGGAUUGCUGCAUUGGCAAGAGCAGUCUCCUGUGAGCAGUCCAAUGAAUCGGUCCACUAAUACAUUGCCUCAUUCUGGAGGUACCUGGGCAAUAAAUUGGUGUGAAAGAAUCCAAGAGAAGAUUCUGAGCAGCUGUUUCAGUUGUUUGGAAAGGAAACUGAUUCCUUUCAUACUUAAACUCUUUGCAUUUAUUCGUAGUCUUCCCUUCGAGUACUGGAGGAAACGGACAAAUGUUUUUCCGACUAAUGCAUUGGAAGAACGACAAGGGAGCAGUUCAUCCAUUAAUGAUGAAGCAGUUCAAAGAGUAAGGGAGAUCCAUCCAUGCAUGCAGCGUCUUCAUAAAUUGGAAAAUUUAUUGGAAGAAAUAAACAAAAAGCCCGCUGAGAUCCCAGCAGAGAAGGAUCGAAUGCUUCAUCAGUCACUUAACAGGAUCAAGUCUGUAGAAGUUGACCUAGAAAAAACAAAAAGGGUAUUGCAUGCGACGGUAUUGAAGCAACUUGAAAUUACAGAGUUAUUGGACAACCUAAAAGAGUCGAGCUUUCAUAGGCGGAGAUUGUGGUGUUGAAUAUUGUAAGGUUGGAGAUUUGAGUACCAGGACAACGCGAUGAUAACCUUUUACUGCUAACUAUGCUGCGAAGGGAGAUGUUAGCUUAUGCACCUCCAGCAGUGGUGACAA